AUCCACUGAUUUCAAUUCUUGCCAUCGAACACUAGAAGCUUAGUACUUAGCUUCUUGUUUUCGUUCAUCUUCAACCUUGUGCAAAUCACUCAAGUCUCACCAAACAUCUGUGUUUCCCAAUCCCGCAUAAUCAAGAAAUGCGAUUUUGUUACUAUUCUGAAUUCAACAUGAAUUCAAGAAACAAAAUCAAUCACACAAC
rnacentral:lncRNA from 1 species